rnacentral:rRNA from 1 species
GAUGAACGCUGGCGGCGUGCUUAAUACAUGCAAGUCGAGCGAACAGACGCGGAGCUUGCUCCUCUGACGUUAGCGGCGGACGGGUGAGUAACACGUGGAUAACCUACCUAUCAGACUGGGAUAACUUCGGGAAACCGGAGCUAAUACCGGAUAAUAUAUUGAACCGCAUGGUUCAAUAGUGAAAGACGGCUUUGCUGGCACUUAUAGCUGGUUCUGCGCCGCAUUAGCUAGUUGGGAAGGUAACGGCUUACCAAGGCGACGAUGCGUAGCCGACCUGAGAGGGUGGUCGGCCACACUGGAACGGAGACACGGUCCAGACUCCUACGGGAGGGAGCAGUAGGGAAUCUUCCGCAAUGGGCGGAAGCCUGACGGAGCAACGCGGCGUGAGUGAUGAAGGUCUUCGGAUCGUAAAACUCUGUUAUUAGGGAAGAACAAAUGUGUAAGUAACUAUGCACGUCUUGACGGUACCUAAUCAGAAAGCCACGGCUAACUACGUG